rnacentral:misc_RNA from 1 species
AUGCGAUAACUAAUGUGAAUUGCAGAAUUCAGUGAAUCAUCGAGUCUUUGAACGCACAUUGCGCCCCCUGGUAUUCCGGGGGGCAUGCCUGUCCGAGCGUCAUUGCUGCCCUCAAGCCCGGCUUGUGUGUUGGGCCCUCGUCCCCCGGCUCCCGGGGGACGGGCCCGAAAGGCAGCGGCGGCACCGCGUCCGGUCCUCGAGCGUAUGGGGCUUUGUCUUCCGCUCUGCAGGCCCGGCCGGCGCCCGCCGACGCAUAACAACUAUUUUUCCAGGUUGACCUCGGAUCAGGUAGGGAUACCCGCUGAACUUAA